GUUGAACUCAGAUGCUUCUUCUUCAAAAUCACGAAGCACAUUGAACUGCAAAUUCUAAAGUCGGCUGGAGAACCCAAAUCAAGCAAAACCAACUGGUGUCCCAAUUCUCCUCUAUUUUAGUCCAAAGACACAAUUGGGUCUCACUUCUCCAGAAUCUUAAUCUCUCUUCCAAGCUUACCCCUUCUUUUUUUCCUCCUAAUCAUCCUCAAAACCCAAUCCCAUCCUCAAAUUCUUCAUCCGGGCCAUUUCCAAUCUAAAAUUCAAGCCAGACCUCAAAUCUCAAUGCUAUGUCACCCG
rnacentral:misc_RNA from 1 species